GUCUCGGUAGUCUAAAGGCUUAGGAUGCUCGCACGGAAUACAAGAGAUCCGGGUUCGAUUCCCGGCCGAGGCA
rfam:Trachymyrmex septentrionalis contig18335, whole genome shotgun sequence.